GACGAACGCUGGCGGCGUGCUUAACACAUGCAAGUCGAACGGAAAGGCCCUGCUUUUGUGGGGUGCUCGAGUGGCGAACGGGUGAGUAACACGUGAGUAACCUUCCCCUGACUUUGGGAUAACUUCAGGAAACUGGGGCUAAUACCGGAUAGGAGCUCCUGCUUCCUGGUGGGGGUUGGAAAGUUUCGGCGGUUGGGGAUGGACUCGCGGCUUAUCAGCUUGUUGGUGGGGUAGUGGCUUACCAAGGCUUUGACGGGUAGCCGGCCUGAGAGGGUGACCGGCCACAUUGGGACUGAGAUACGGCCCAGACUCCUACGGGAGGCAGCAGUGGGGAAUAUUGCACAAUGGGCGGAAGCCUGAUGCAGCAACGCCGCGUGCGGGAUGACGGCCUUCGGGUUGUAAACCGCUUUCGCCUGUGACGAAGCGUGAGUGACGGUAAUGGGUAAAGAAGCACCGGCUAACUACGUG
rnacentral:rRNA from 1 species